UAAGGAAUAUUGGACAAUGGAGGCAACUCUGAUCCAGCCAUGCCGCGUGAAGGAUGAAGGCCCUAUGGGUCGUAAACUUCUUUUGUACGAGAGAAAACCUAUUUACGUGUAGAUAGUUGAUAGUAUCGUAAGAAUAAGGAUCGGCUAACUUCGUGCCAGCAGCCGCGGUAAGACGAAGGAUCCAAGCGUUAUCCGGAUUCAUUGGGUUUAAAGGGUGCGUAGGCGGAUUUGUAAGUCAGUGGUGAAAGCC
rnacentral:rRNA from 1 species